CAGCAUGGGAUAACAAAAAGUUCAGAAGAGAAGCAGGGAGAGAAAUUAGGCAGUGAGGACCUGAGAAGAGCAGUUAUGAAAGUACUGUGGAAAUCCCCACCUUACUGUCUUCUUGUUUCCAAGUGGCUUCUGAGAAGUUUGAUGUCAGUCUGACACGCUGUUGAAGGGUCACCUUAAAUCCAUGAUGUGUUUUCUGAGAGAUUAGAAGCAGACUGCAAGGUGGACUCAGAUUUUGAGAUGCAGCUUUUCUGCACUGAAUAUAAAAUCCCUCAGUGUCGUUUCCAUGCUUUCCAGCGUCAGCUUAAUUUUGUGUAAAUAGUCUGGAAAAUUUCAUCACGGCUAGCAAAGCGUGUAUGAACAAGUGUGUAAGACUGUAAGAACAUAUUUAUUCAGCACCCCAGAAAUUUACAGAUGAACUAAAAAGUUUCAAGAAUGUCCCUUUUACUUCACACUUGACAACAACACCUUGGAAUAGAAUUGCUGGGUCAUAAGGCAAUUCUAUAUUUAACCACUGGAAGAACUGUCAGACUGUCACACCAGCCGCACCAGCCGCACCAGCCGCACCAGCCAAACCAGCCGCACCAGCCACACCAUUUUGCAAUCCCACCAGCAAUGCUUGAAUCUCUCCACAUUCUUACCAGCACUUGUUACUAUCUGAUUUUUUAACUCUAGCCAUCCUAGUGAGUGAGAAGUAGUAUCUCAUUGUAGUUUUGUGUAGAGAGAUUUAUGAUACCUUUAAAUUAGUUAUUGUUGUUAUAAAGUAAAGCUAUAGUAGCUCUUGUAACAGAUUUUCCCAUGACCAAUGCCCUCCUGGGCCUCUCUCAGGCGUAUUAACUGGGGCGUCCUGAACAACGAACACUCGUGGCAGAUUGGCUACUCCAGCAUCUACACGGGGUGAGUCAGGGCCGUGCAAUACUUAAGAACACAGUUCUGCACCCACACUCUCUGGGGUCAGACCUUAGGUCUCUCACUUACCUGCUUGUAUGGCCUUGGGCAAGUUAUGCACAGGGUUGCAGAUAUCCUCAAAGUCUUGCAUUAAUGGAUGUGAUUUAUGCAAGAAGACAAAAAAAAUUGUGCUAAAAGAAAUGGCCUUAGCUUUAUACCCCGCAAAUAGGCAUAUUGGCAAAUAUU